UUGUAAACAUCCGGUCCAGGCUGACAUUGAGCCACUCAUUGGUUGGGUAAGACAAUCUUGUGUAUGGAGCUGUGACUUGGUAAUGCCUUUUUGGGCUGGAAAGAAACCCGUUCGUGACCCUUGUCAAAAACAGGCUUGUGAUAUUCAAGCAUGCUUACAGGCUAAAAACUAUGAUGAAUCGGCUUGUCGCAAAUUCACAAAAGCGCUUGAAAGAUGCUGUGAACGAAAUGUGGGGAAAGAAUCAGUUUGCUGUUCUGGUAUAAAGACUUCAUCAGGGACGUCUGAUAAGUGACAAGGAUGAUUUGUCCUAUUGUUCAAUACAGAGACGGUGCGAUAGUGGGACAUUUUAUUCGGAAGUACAUAUCAGCUGUUGAAUCCUGUUUUUGUUUUUUAGACACGUUUCUUUAUUUAGUGUCAACUAAAAAUGGAAGACUUUACCAGCAGUGUACACUCUGUGAGUAACAUGGCCUGGUGGUAUUCUGUUUUGUUUUGAUUUUUGAGGGGUUUUUUUGUCAAUAAAACAUGACCAUAUUGAUCACAA